UGGGGAAUAUUGCACAAUGGGCGAAAGCCUGAUGCAGCAACGCCGCGUGAGGGACGACGGCCUUCGGGUUGUAAACCUCUUUUAGCAAGGAAGAAGCGAAAGUGACGGUACUUGCAGAAAAAGCGCCGGCUAACUACGUGCCAGCAGCCGCGGUAAUACGUAGGGCGCAAGCGUUAUCCGGAAUUAUUGGGCGUAAAGAGCUCGUAGGCGGUUUGUCGCGUCUGCUGUGAAAACCCGAGGCUCAACCUCGGGCCUGCAGUGGGUACGGGCAGACUAGAGUGCGGUAGGGGAGAUUGGAACUCCUGGUGUAGCGGUGGAAUGCGCAGAUAUCAGGAGGAACACCGAUGGCGAAGGCAGAUCUCUGGGCCGUAACUGACGCUGAGGAGCGAAAGGGUGGGGAGCAAACAGGCUUAGAUACCCUGGUAGUCCACCCCGUAAACGUUGGGAACUAGUUGUGGGGUCCAUUCCACGGAUUCCGUGACGCAGCUAACGCAUUAAGUUCCCCGCCUGGGGAGUACGGCCGCAAGGCUAAAACUCAAAUGAAUUGACGGGGUCAUAGCUGUUUCCU
rnacentral:rRNA from 1 species